rnacentral:rRNA from 3 species
AAACGACUCUCGGCAACGGAUAUCUCGGCUCUUGCAUCGAUGAAGAACGUAGCGAAAUGCGAUACUUGGUGUGAAUUGCAGAAUCCCGUGAACCAUCGAGUCUUUGAACGCAAGUUGCGCCUGAAGCCAUUAGGCUGAAGGCACGUCUGCCUGGGCGUCA